rnacentral:rRNA from 1 species
CACAUGCAAGGUCGAGGGGCAGCGAUAAAAGUAGCAAGUACUUGGUGGCGACCGGCGCACGGGUGAGUAACGCGUAUGCAACCUACCUAGUCAGAGGGGAAUAACCCGGCGAAAGUCGGACUAAUACCGACAGUAAAACAGGGGCACCGCAUGGUGAUAUUUGUUAAAGAAAUUCGCUGAUAGAUGGGCAUGCGUUCCAUUAGGGUAGUGGUGAGGUAACGGCUCACCAAGCCGACGAUGGAUAGGGGAACUGAGAGGUUGGUCCCCCACACUGGUACUGAGACACGGACCAGACUCCUACGGGAGGCAGCAGUGAGGAAUAUUGGUCAAUGGGCGGGAGCCUGAGCCAGCCAAGUCGCGUGAAGGAAGAAGGAUCUAUGGUUCGUAAACUUCUUUUGCAGGGGAAUAAAGUGCAGGACGUGUCCUGUUUUGUAUGUACCCUGAGAAUAAGGAUCGGCUAACUCCGUGCCAGCCGCCGC